AGGACGAACGCUGGCGGCGUGCUUAAAACAUGCAAGUCGAACGGACUUCUCAUGAAGCUUGCGAUUGAGAAGUUAGUGGCGGACGGGUGAGUAACGCGUGGGCAACCUGCCCCUGAGCCCGGGAUAACAGUUCGAAAGGACUGCUAAGACCGGAUAUACUUGCGGUGAAGCAUUUCACUGCAAGGAAAGGGAACGCUCAGGGAUGGGCCCGCGUCCCAUUAGCUAGUUGGUGAGGUAACGGCCCACCAAGGCGACGAUGGGUAGCCGGCCUGAGAGGGUGAACGGCCACACUGGGACUGAGACACGGCCCAGACUCCUACGGGAGGCAGCAGUUGGGAAUCUUCGGCAAUGGGCGCAAGCCUGACCGAGCAACGCCGCGUGAGUGAUGAAGGUUUUCGGAUUGUAAAGCUCUGUCUUCCGGGACGAUAAUGACGGUACCGGAGGAGGAAGCCACGGCUAACUACGUG
rnacentral:rRNA from 1 species